rnacentral:rRNA from 1 species
AUGUCGGGAAUGUGGUUGCUGAAUGGGGACAUUGAUAGGGGUCAUCGUGGUGUGAUAUGGUAUAAGCGCAAGCUUGAGCCUCUGGUCACUCGCACUCCUAAGGAAAACUGGAUGAUACACCCAGGAUGGCUUCAGCGGUUGAAAUGGGCCGGCCUUUUACCUUUCGCACGUCUGGUUGAGUCUAUCCCGGGUGAGAAACGCAUCUCCAUCGACGGGUCCUUGCUGAGCUGCUUAGUGGACCGUUGGAGGCCAGAGACCCACACGUUUCACUUUCAAUGGGGAGAGAUGGCUCCUACUCUGGAGGAUGUGUCACUUUUGCUCGGACUACCGUUGGCAGGUCAUGCUAUAGGACCGUUGGACGCACCGGCUAGUUGGGAGCGAGCCCUUACACAACAUUUUCAUGGUGUUUUUCCGGAUGCUCCGGAUCCGGUAUGGGAGCAUCACGAACCUAAGUAUGAGUAG